GGGUUAGAGUGGAGGGGCGGCAGGGUAGCCUAGUGGUUAGAGUGGAGGGGCGGCAGGGUAGCCUAGUGGUUAGAGGGGAGGGGCGGCAGGGUAGCCUAGUGGGUAGAGUGGAGGGGCGGCAGGUAGCCUAGUGGUUAGAGUGGAGGGGUGGCAGGUAGACUAGUGGUUAGAGUGGAGGGGCGGCAGGGUAGUCUAGUGGUUAGAGUGGAGGGGCGGCAGGGUAGACUAGUGGUUAGAGUGGAGGGGCGGCAGGGGAGACUAGUCGUUAGAGUGGAGGGGCAGCAGGGUAGACUAGUGUUUAGAGUGGAGGGGUGGCAGGGUAGCCUGGUGGUUAGAGUGGUGGGCUGGCAGGGUAGACUAGUGGUUAGAGUGGAGGGGCGGCAGGGUAGCCUAGUGGUUAGAGUGUAGGGGCGGCAAGGUAGCCUAGUGGUUAGAGUGGAGGAGCGGCAGGGUCGCCUAGUGGUUAGAGUGGAGGGGCGGCCGGGUAGACUAGUGGUUAGAGGGGAGUGGAGGCAGGGUAGCCUAGUGGGUAGAGUGGAGGGGCGGCAAGUAGCCUAGUGGUUAGAGUGGAGGGGCGGCAGGGUAGCCUAGUGGUUAGAGUGGAGGGGUGGCAGGGUAGCCUAGUGGUUAGAGUGAAGGGGCGGCAGGGUAGCCUAGUGGUUAGAGUGGAGGGGCGGCAGGGUAGUCUAGUGGUUAGAGUGGAGGGGCGGCAGGGUAGCCUAGUGGUUAGAGUGUUGGACUAGUGACCGGAAGGUUGCAAGUUCAAACCCCCGAGCUGACAAGGUACAAAUCUGUCGUUCUGCCCCUGAACAGGCAGUUAACCCACUGUUCCCAGGCCGUCAUUGAAAAUAAGAAUUUGUUCUUAACUGACUUGCCUCGUUAAAUAAAG
ensembl:lncRNA